AUACGUAUCUGGCAGGGGAGAUACCAUGAUCACAAAGGUGGUUUCCCAGGGUGAGGCCUAUCCAUUGCACUCCAGCUGUGCUGACCCCUGUGAUUCCCCCACAUGUGGGAGACUUGACUGCAUAAUUUGUGGUAAUGGGGGACUGCUUUUGCACUCUCCCCUG
ensembl:snRNA U1 U1 spliceosomal RNA